rnacentral:rRNA from 1 species
AUUGAACGCUGGCGGCAUGCCUUACACAUGCAAGUCGAACGGUAACAGGUCUUCGGAUGCUGACGAGUGGCGAACGGGUGAGUAAUACAUCGGAACGUGCCUAGUAGUGGGGGAUAACUACUCGAAAGAGUGGCUAAUACCGCAUGAGAUCUACGGAUGAAAGCAGGGGAUCGCAAGACCUUGUGCUACUAGAGCGGCCGAUGGCAGAUUAGGUAGUUGGUGGGAUAAAAGCUUACCAAGCCGACGAUCUGUAGCUGGUCUGAGAGGACGAUCAGCGACAAUGGGACUGAGACACGGCCCAGACUCCUACGGGAGGAAGCAGGGGGGAAUUUUGAACAAUGGGCGCAAGCCUGAUCCAGAAAUGCCGCGUGCAGGAUGAAGGCCUUCGGGUUGUAAACUGCUUUUGUACGGAACGAAAAGCCCUGGGUUAAUACCCUGGGGUCAUGACGGUACCGUAAGAAUAAGCACCGGCUAACUACGUGCCAGCCGCCGCCGUAAGAC